rnacentral:rRNA from 1 species
GAUGAACGCUGGCGGCGCGCCUAACACAUGCAAGUCGAACGGCACCUGCCUUCGGGCAGAAGCGAGUGGCGAACGGCUGAGUAACACGUGGAGAACCUGCCCCCUCCCCCGGGAUAGCCGCCCGAAAGGACGGGUAAUACCGGAUACCCCGGGGUGCCGCAUGGCACCCCGGCUAAAGCCCCGACGGGAGGGGAUGGCUCCGCGGCCCAUCAGGUAGACGGCGGGGUGACGGCCCACCGUGCCGACAACGGGUAGCCGGGUUGAGAGACCGACCGGCCAGAUUGGGACUGAGACACGGCCCAGACUCCUACGGGAGGCAGCAGUGGGGAAUCUUGCGCAAUGGGGGGAACCCUGACGCAGCGACGCCGCGUGCGGGACGGAGGCCUUCGGGUCGUAAACCGCUUUCAGCAGGGAAGAGUCAAGACUGUACC